rnacentral:rRNA from 1 species
UCCAGACUCCUACGGGAGGCAGCAGUGGGGGAUAUUGCACAAUGGGGGGAACCCUGAUGCAGCGACGCCGCGUGGGUGAAGGAGCGUUUCGGCGCGUAAAGCCCUAUCGGCAGGGAAGAAGGAGGACGGUACCUGACUAAGAAGCCCCGGCUAACUACGUGCCAGCAGCCGCGGUAAUACGUAGGGGGCAAGCGUUAUCCGGAUUUACUGGGUGUAAAGGGGGCGCAGACGGCAGCGCAAGCCAGGAGUGAAAGCCCGGGGCCCAACCCCGGGACUGCUCUUGAAACUGCGCGGCUGGAGUGCAGGAGGGGCAGGCGGAAUUCCUGGUGUAGCGGUGAAAUGCGUAGAUAUCAGGAGGAGCACCGGUGGCGAAGGCGGCCUGCUGGACUGCGACUGACGUUGAGGCCCGAAAGCGUGGGGAGCAAACAGGAUUAGAUACCCCCGUAA